GCCAGCAGUGAGAGCACUUUAAAUGUACCAGUUCCCGAUGGGUCUCUGAAGUUAAGCAACGUUGCAUGUGGAAGGUAUUCGGAUGGAUGACCAAGUGACCAUCUAGGCAUUCUAGGCA
rnacentral:rRNA from 1 species